AGACCCGAAACCCGGUGAUCUAGCCAUGGGCAGGUUGAAGGUUGGGUAACACUAACUGGAGGACCGAACCGACUAAUGUUGAAAAAUUAGCGGAUGACCUGUGGCUGGGGGUGAAAGGCCAAUCAAACCGGGAGAUAGCUGGUUCUCCCCGAAAGCUAUUUAGGUAGCGCCUCGUGAAUUCAUCUCCGGGGGUAGAGCACUGUUUCGGCUAGGGGGCCAUCCCGGCUUACCAACCCGAUGCAAACUGCGAAUACCGGAGAAUGUUAUCACGGGAGACACACGGCGGGUGCUAACGUCCGUCGUGAAGAGGGAAACAACCCAGACCGCCAGCUAAGGUCCCAAAGUCAUGGUUAAGUGGGAAACGAUGUGGGAAGGCCCAGACAGCCAGGAUGUUGGCUUAGAAGCAGCCAUCAUUUAAAGAAAGCGUAAUAGCUCACUGGUCGAGUCGGCCUGCGCGGAAGAUGUAACGGGGCUAAACCAUGCACCGAAGCUGCGGCAGCGACGCUUAUGCGUUGUUGGGUAGGGGAGCGUUCUGUAAGCCUGCGAAGGUGGCCUGUGAGGGUUGCUGGAGGUAUCAGAAGUGCGAAUGCUGACAUAAGUAACGAUAAAGCGGGUGAAAAGCCCGCUCGCCGGAAGACCAAGGGUUCCUGUCCAACGUUAAUCGGGGCAGGGUGAGUCGACCCCUAAGGCGAGGCCGAAAGGCGUAGUCGAUGGGAAACGGGUUAAUAUUCCCGUACUUGGUGUUACUGCGAAGGGGGGACGGAGAAGGCUAUGUUGGCCGGGCGACGGUUGUCCCGGUUUAAGCGUGUAGGCUGGUUUUCCAGGCAAAUCCGGAAAAUCAAGGCUGAGGCGUGAUGACGAGGCACUACGGUGCUGAAG
rnacentral:rRNA from 1 species